rnacentral:rRNA from 1 species
CAGCCGUAAACAAUGUGCGUUAGGUGUGUCGGUAACCACGUGUUACUGAUGCGCCGAAGAGAAAUCGUGAAACGCACCACCUGGGAAGUACGGUCGCAAGGCUGAAACUUAAAGGAAUUGGCGGGGGAGCACCACAACAGGUGGAGCCUGCGGUUUAAUUGGAUUCAACGCCGGACAUCUCACCGGAUAAGACAGCUGAAUGAUUGUCAAUCUGAAGGUUUUACAUGACUAGCUGAGAGGUGGUGCAUGGCGUGUGACUGU